AUAGCAACAGCAGCGUAGCUGAACAUCUUACGGAUGGCCCAGGGCUCCAAAGGCUCGUUUCCUAAGUGAGAGAGAGCCUGGCUGAAGCUGUAUUACCAUUCAUUCUCCAGCCUCCGAAGUCUCAAAGCAUCACUUCCACCAUACUCUAACUGUCAAGACAAACACAAAGGCCCAGAAACUGCCAGACUGUCUUCCGAAGUGGCUAUAAUAUUUACACUCACAUCAGCAGUGUAGAAGGGGUCUCACUAUGUUGUCUGGAGUGCAGUGGCUGGAGUGGAGUGGCUAUUCACAGAGCCUGUUCUGCUGGGACACAGAAUCACUUGCUCCAUCUCAUACAUUGAUGAUGAUUAAUUUGUAUGUGUACCUUCCAAAAAAAGAUGGUUGUGUUUGAACGGAGGCCUUCUGGACAGGAAAAUAAUCACAUCCUUCCUGAGAUAAUGAGCACACAAUUGCCUGGAUACCUGAAGGAAUGGAGACAGCCGCAGAAAACACUGCAGAGAGGUGGAAACAUCCGUUAAUAUUUUAAAAUCCCAUUACUGCUACCAACAAUAAUAAUGGAUGCAUAGAAAUAGAUCUGGAUUAGCUGAGCUUGAAACAGUCCAUCUCACACACACGCAAAAGAAUUUCAGAUACAGUGAACCCACACGUUGAAGCUUUCUAGUAUAAUAAAAAUUUCAACUGUUCUGUUGAAUCAUCUGCCUGAUUGGAGGCUACAGAAAAGAUGUCAUCUUAGGAGUGCUUGCUCUGAGUGAGGCUCAUCUUCAAAUCUGAAUGACCACAAGGAGAUUUGAUUAUACAUGUGAACACCUCUGAAGGCACAGCCCGCCCAGAAGGCAGACAGGUCAGGCUGCUUUUUCUUCAUUGGUUGGAUUCAAUCCUCUGGGCGGCUCAGACGUAACUUAAGCAUGAUUAAACUUUAGAAGAAGCUGCCAGGAAGACUGUGAAAUCUUCAUGCCCAAGGAUCCCUAAAAUUAGGAGCAACAACCACUUGGCUCAGACGGUUUAUGGAGGCAAAGGUUUGGAUGGGAUUAGAGAUUUCUAAAUGUGAGUUCGUGUCCUCUGCCAGACCACCUUACUUCCACCAUUCCUCAGCAAAUCAAGAAAAACAGGAGAAAAGACAUGCCUUUCCAUAAGUUAAAUCUAUUCUGUUUUAAUUCUAUAUUAUAUCUGAUGUACAACUUCUUUUGUUUGUAACACCAUAUUGUUGCUAGUAACUGGAAAUUAAUUUUCACAUGCCUCAGCUUAGAAAAAUAAAAAGCAGCCCUGCAUCAAUCCCAA
rnacentral:lncRNA from 1 species